rnacentral:rRNA from 1 species
GGGUUGUGAGGUUAAGCGACCAAGCGUACACGGUGGAUGCCCUGGCAGUCAGAGGCGAUGAAGGACGUGCUAAUCUGCGAAAAGCGCCGGUAAGGUGAUAUGAACCGUUAUAACCGGCGAUGUCCGAAUGGGGAAACCCGGUGCACUACGGUGCAUCAUCGUUUGAUGAAUACAUAGUCAAACGAGGCGAACCGGGGGAACUGAAACAUCUAAGUACCCCGAGGAAAAGAAAUCAACCGAGAUUCCCCCAGUAGCGGCGAGCGAACGGGGAGGAGCCCAGAGCCUGAAUCAGCAUGUGUGUUAGUGGAAGCGUCUGGAAAGGCGCGCGAUACAGGGUGACAGCCCCGUACACAAAAAUGCACAUGCUGUGAGCUCGAAGAGUAGGGCGGGACACGUGGUAUCCUGUCUGAAUAUGGGGGGACCAUCCUCCAAGGCUAAAUACUCCUGACUGACCGAUAGUGAACCAGUACCGUGAGGGAAAGGCGAAAAGAACCCCGGCGAGGGGAGUGAAACAGAACCUGAAACCGUGUACGUACAAGCAGUGGGAGCACCCUUUGG